rnacentral:snRNA from 1 species
UUAUCUCUUCAAAUACAUCCAAUAAAGUUGAGAUGAUAUGAAGAAGAUUAGCAUGACCCUUACACAAGGAUGACACCCACAAAUUGAGAAAUGGUCCAAUUUUUU